GAUGAACGCUAGCGGCAGGCUUAAUACAUGCAAGUCGAGGGGCAGCAUGGUUGUAGCAAUACAACUGAUGGCGACCGGCAAACGGGUGCGGAACACGUACGCAAUCUACCCAGAACUGAUGAAUAGCCCUCCGAAAGGAGGAUUAAUACAUCGUAACAUAAUUGAAUGGCAUCAUUUAAUUAUCAUAGCUCCGGCGGUUUUGGAUGAGCGUGCGCCUGAUUAGGUAGUUGGUGUGGGUAACGGCCCACCAAGCCUGCGAUCAGUAACUGGUCUGAGAGGAUGGCCAGCCACACUGGGACUGAGACACGGCCCAGACUCCUACGGGAGGCAGCAGUGGGGAAUCUUGCGCAAUGGGCGAAAGCCUGACGCAGCCAUGCCGCGUGGAUGAUGAAGGUCUUAGGAUUGUAAAAUCCUUUCAGCGGGGACGAUAAUGACGGUACCCGC
rnacentral:rRNA from 1 species